AUAAGAUCUUGCACUUUUGUAACGGCCUUCGCUUUCCUCCAGUCUGUAUGCACUAGAUGGAAUCCAGCUAGCACUUGUCAAAUGCGUCAGUCCUUUAACAGAUUUCAUUUUUGCCCAUGGAAGAGUUGCACGACCACACGAACAGCUGCGGUUAUUAGCGGCUCGCAGAAGGCGGUACCAGCACUGAACGUCUUCAGUUCCUGUGCACGGCAGAUUUAACUCCCCCUUAAUCCCCCCGGCCAUCGAUAUGUCUUCUGAAACACUAAAGCAGCGUCUUAAACAAGAUUAUCCAGACCAACCUAACCACCACCUCCAGCUGAACGAAAUAAUGCCAAUUGCAUUUGGCCGUUGUGGAGCAGCAAUGGAGCUGAUGCAUGGUCCAGACGGUCCCUGUAACCGGAGUCUCCUGUAGUGUUCUGAGAAAGACAUCCCCGAAGACAAGCCCCGGCAUCCUCUGCAAUACGUGACGCCCUUCAAAGUCUCCUGACUUUUCCAUAAUUUACCUAAAUGUUACCAAUUUCAAUAAAUAAUUAAAACCUCUAAAAU